rnacentral:tRNA from 1 species
GGGGAGGUGGCUCAGUGGUAGAGCGCUUGCCUUGCAUGCAUGA